GUCCGCUUCCCUGCUUGCAUCCGCGUGGAUGGGCUGCGACCUUAGAGGUGGGGGAGGCUAAAAUUCAAAGAGGC
rnacentral:ncRNA from 1 species